rnacentral:rRNA from 1 species
GAUGAACGCUGGCGGCGUGCCUAAUACAUGCAAGUCGAGCGAACAGACGAGGAGCUUGCUCCUCUGACGUUAGCGGCGGACGGGUGAGUAACACGUGGAUAACCUACCUAUAAGACUGGGAUAACUUCGGGAAACCGGAGCUAGUACCGGAUAAUAUAUUGAACCGCAUGGUUCAAUAGUGAAAGACGGUUUUGCUGUCACUUAUAGAUGGAUCCGCGCCGCAUUAGCUAGUUGGUAAGGUAACGGCUUACCAAGGCAACGAUGCGUAGCCGACCUGAGAGGGUGAUCGGCCACACUGGAACUGAGACACGGUCCAGACUCCUACGGGAGGCAGCAGUAGGGAAUCUUCCGCAAUGGGCGAAAGCCUGACGGAGCAACGCCGCGUGAGUGAUGAAGGUCUUCGGAUCGUAAAACUCUGUUAUUAGGGAAGAACAAAUGUGUAAGUAACUAUGCACGUCUUGACGGUACCUAGUCAGAAAGCCACGGCUAACUACGUG